UCAAUAUAACUUCUAAGGAUCACAUUUUAGGUACUCUGUUACCACAGAUCAGGGAGAAUAUACAUAUUUAUCUUUUUGGAAAGGCUUAUUUCACAAAAUGUAACGUUUUACAGUUGCAUCCAGUCUUUUUUUUUUUUUUUUUUUUGUAUAGGAAAAGCUUUCUUACCUGCAGCAUACCGGAGAUCAACACUGGCCCUGUAUCCAAGCCUGGAGCCAAGACAGCUGUCACCCACUUUUUUGACACUGCCUGGCCACUUCCGGUGCCGCUGGGAGGAAGAGGCGGGUCCUAGAUGGAUAGCGCUUGUGCAGUCAGUCUGGUGGAUAUAGAGCCGACGGUGGCAGAGUUGUCGGCUGCUAGAGUUGUCGGCUUCCGGCGGCGUUUUCGGCAGCGGUACUGGCCUGGAGAGUGCGGGAGCGAAGACAUUUUCAUGGAUAUGAAACUGGAUGCAGUUGAAGUUCAUCUGCUGGGUAAUCUUCCAUUUCUGGGGACUGCUCGACUUCCUGCUAAACACAGCUGGGACUUCUUCCUGGAGAGGAGCAACUGGUGAGCAGAUGUGACCACCUCAUCUCCAUGCCAAUGUGUGUCCUGUUGCCAGUGAGGAGUGUGCCUGUGCCUGGCGCUUUGACCCAGAAGUGCACCCGCAGGUGCCGCCACUUCUGCCCUCGAUGCACUGGUGGGAGUCAAUGCCAUGUCUGCUCCUUCCCAGAGCCUUGAGGAGCUGCCUUCAACGCUGGUGGCUGAACCUGAGGAGACCCAGGGCCCUGCAGACUCAGGCUGGGAUCAGACUGCACACACAGAGGAGAAAGCAGAAGCUUAGAGAAAUGCCAAGAAUCCCUCAGUGCCCUGUUCCAGCCUGCCCCAAGAUUCUGACACCUCACACCCCUUCUGGAAGCAAUGGCUGUCCCGCCAGCAGACCAGGCCCACUUGGAGGUGAGUGA
rnacentral:lncRNA from 1 species